rnacentral:lncRNA from 1 species
GACUCAACAGGUUGGUCGGCGGUGCCUGAACCAGUAUGUUGGAGGUCUUCACAUCAGACCUACUCUUUAUCCCAUAGGAGGCCUAUCAGGUAAUAAUAACCUUCGUUAUUCCAUAAUGCCUAGCUCUCCCAGGCGGUUAACCAAGGAUUACAAGGUUCAAUAGAUAGGCACCAGUAGUUAAUCCUCAGUAAUUAAUUCAUACUCCUGAUGGCAGAUUAUCUCAAUAGGCAUUACCUAUACCUUGUAUGGGGAUACAAUGAUAUGGAACUGUGCUGUCUAAUAAGCCUCUUACAAUGUUGGGAAGGUUCUGUGGCACCAUUCAAUACAGUAGUAGAGACUAGCUAUAUUCUACCCAAUCCACCCCGUUUGCGUGUGCGUGUGCAUCAACAUAUGGCUACAACUUACUAUAGUGGGUAUAUUUAUCCCAAUGGUUCCCAAAUUCUUUGAGAUAAGAUAGCACAUUAUUAUGAAAAAAGAAAAUGGGGGGGAUCAAGAUCAGAUAAUGCCCUUCAGUAUGAAGUUUCAGCCCUACUACUGAUCUCCUAUAUCCACUAUCCAAUUAUGACAGCUGUUUACUACGUAUGACUGUCACAAUCAAACAGAAAUGAUUAAGCCUUUAACUUCUGUACUCAGGAGGCUGAAAAAGGAGCCUCCUUGCCCAGAAGGCCACCCUGGACUACACAGUGAGUAGCAAGGUAUCCAGUACCUAAGACUCUGUCUCAACACAAAACAAUAACAACAAAAUUACACAUACAUGUAUAUGUAUACAUGAUUUAAAAGGUGAAUACUUUCUAAACCAUGACCCUUUCUGUUUUCAAAAAAGAUUUAAUGGGGACUGGAGAGAUGGCUCAGCAGUAAAGAGUGCUGACUGUUCUUCCAGAGGACUAGGGUACCUACCCCAGCUCCCAUUGGUGGCUGGCUGGGACUCCAGUUUCCAGGAGAUCUGACGCCCUCUUCUGGCUUCUGAUGGUAAUACAUGCAUGUAGUCCACAGACACAUGGACUGUUUUAAUUAUUUUAUGUGUGUAUUUUGUCUGCAUGUAUGUAAGUGCAUGUAGUGCCUAAGGAGGACAGAAGACAAUGGUGGAUCCCUAGAACUGGAGUUACAGAUAGCCACCAUGCAAGUUUGGGAAUCCAACCUAGGUCCAGUGCUCUUAACCUCUGAGCUAUCCCUGAAGCCCCAGCUGUGACUUUUUGUAUGCAAUGAUUUUCUUGGAAAAAAUAGUAACACGGGGCCUGGAAAGAUGGCUUAGGAGUUAAGAGCACGUACUGCUUUUGCAGAGGAGCUGCUUACAUUCCUAGCAGACACAUGGCAGUUCACAACUAUUUGUAACUAGUUUCAGGGCAUCUAACACCUCUUCUGACCUCUUCAGGCUCCUGCAGGCUUGCGAUCCACAACAUACAUAUAUUCAGGCAUAACCCAGUUGUGGUGUAUGUCUUUAAUCCCAACACUUGGGAGGCAGAGGUAGACAGUCUCUCAGUUUGAGGCCAGCCUAGUCUCAGAGUGAGUUCCAGAACAGUCAGGACCUACAGAGAAACUCUGCCUUAAAAAACAAACCAACCAGACUAGACCACCAACCAAGGAGUAUACCUAAAGGGAUCUUUGGCUCCAGAUACAUAUGUAGCAGAGGAUGGGAGGCCCUUGAUCCCAGGGAGAUUUGAUAUCCCAGAGUAUGGGGAUGCUGGAGUGGUGUGGCAGGGAGAGUGUGGGUGGGUAGGGGAGGACCCUCAUAAAAGGGAGGGGGAAGGCAGAUGUGGGAUGGUGGGUUGGUGGAGAAGGUAACCAGGAAGUUGGAUACCAUUUGAGAUGUAAACUAAUGGAAUGAUUAAUAAU